rnacentral:rRNA from 1 species
UUGCCAGCCCGCUCAGAAACUUAAAGGAAUUGACGGGGGCCCGCACAAGCGGUGGAGCAUGUGGUUUAAUUCGAUGAUACGCGAGGAACCUUACCUGGGCUCAAAUGUAUGUUGACGUAUUCUGAAAGGGAUACUUCUUCGGACAAUAUACAAGGUGCUGCAUGGUUGUCGUCAGCUCGUGCCGUGAGGUGUCGGGUUAAGUCCCAUAACGAGCGCAACCCCUAUCAUUAGUUGCCAUCAGGUCAAGCUGGGGACUCUAAUGAAACUGCCUACGCAAGUAGUGAGGAAGGUGGGGAUGACGUCAAAUCAGCACGGCCCUUACGUCCAGGGCUACACACGUGCUACAAUGGCCGGUACAAAGGGCAGCUACCUGGUGACAGGAUGCUAAUCUCAAAAGCCGGUCUCAGUUCGGAUCGGAGUCUGCAACUCGACUGCGUGAAGUCGGAAUCGCUAGUAAUCGUGAAUCAGAAUGUCACGGUGAAUACGUUCCCGGGCCUU